UUGAUAGAGGAAUCGAGUAAUUUUAUUAAUUGACAACCAAUGGAGAAAAAAACACAAUUUCGACAAUAUAUAAAUUGGAAGAAGAGUCAAAUAUCUAUAGGGACAAUCCACACCCUACAAGCAGAUUUGUGAAUGAAAUAGAAUGUACAAACGUUUCCUUAUCUUGAUAUCUUUAAAUCCAAUACAAAUUGCAACUCCUAAUAAAGCUUUCAAAUAGAAUUUCAACUAGAAUUUGCUAAUAGAUUUCGAAUAUGAUUCCAAAAGCAUUCCAAAUAGAAUUCUUUUUAAUGUAGACUUUAAUUAGAACUCUCAAUUAUCUUCAUCAAAGAAUUUGAGUUACACCCAAAGUCUAAAAAUUUCCACUUUGAUAUGAAUUUCGAUGCAACGAACAAAGCUCCAAUCUAGAAAAAUAAGUCCGACUGCAGGGAAAUGGACUGAACUCUUCAACUAGAAUAAAACUUAUCCACCUUACGAAAAAUUACUCUCCCUCUUCACAGUUUCCACAAAAAAUACCAGAACCCAAACACCGGGUUCCCAAAAUUUCUACAAGGAAUUUAAGAUUUACCAAACAUGGUCGAAACACAUCCUGUAACAGAAUCAACUCUCAAUACUUUCAUCGAAGGCCCCUUCCUAGUCUCAACACCUUCAAAAAUGCCAAAAGCGCAACUAAAUCAGCAUCCUCGUACUUAUCUCCAAUAGGUCUAUCUCUAACAGUUGAAUACGAUGAAACCAUGGACAAUGGUAGCAAAGUGAAGUUACUCAGAUCCUCUAAACUUGAUUCGGUAGUAUUUUUCAAUAUGGACCCAGAAUCAAAUUCUAAAGGUACAGUACCAAACAAAAUCUCCACCACGGUACUAAACCUGUGACGAAUUUUCUUUACUAAUUCUACUUGACCUUACAAGAUGUAUAAUUGGGAUCUCUUCUACACAUCCAAUACAACAUGAACACCCUUCCGGACCCUCAAGACUCCACCUGCCCCAGAGAACGUGUACCAUUUCGAAUCAAGAGUACUCAAUGAAAUGAGAUUCUUCUUCAAAUCUAUAAUAUGUCGAACAUGAUCGGGUGUUCUACAUGUUCCAUCUACCAACUUCAAUAUAACUCUACCGAUACCAGCUACUCAACAAAGUUCGCUCUUACCCAUGACAAAGACACCUUGCAUCACCAUUUCAUAUGUUUCAAUUCCAAUUAAGGAAUGUACAAGCUGAGUCUAAAAUCCACUCUUAUUGAUUCUACAUCAGAAAUCAUCAAGACAUUUCUAUCACUCAAAUUGUCCUCAACUAUGUAGGUCUCGUUUAAAGUGUUUGAUUACUUCCUAUGAUUUGCAAUUGAAGUACCUUUAUUUUAUAAUUUUUUGCAAUCUCUCUUAAUGUGCCAUUUCUUCUUGCAAUAAUAACAAACAUGAUUGCUGAAACUCGGCCUUGACUUAUCCCUUCGUCGAUCACAAUAAAUCACAAGACCUUCUUCAACUUUGGACUCAAAUCCAACUAGAUGUUUCAUCUUUUCCUUUGAGACCAGGACAUCAUAUACGACUUCUAUGAGGAGAUCAUCAUGACUAUACAAAAUUAUGCCCCUUGAACGAUGGGGGCAGAGAAUACAACAAGAUUAAGGACAAAUCUUUUUCAUCAUAUUUUACGUCUAAUGUAUCUAAAUCAACGACGAUCUCCUUGAACACAGCUAAAUGAUCUUCCAAAGAUCUGUCAUCUGCCAUGAAAUGAGAAAGCAACCUCUGCUUUAGAUGCAAAUUGCUCGUUAGACUUUUAGCCAUGCACAAUUGCUCCAGCGUCAACCACAACGUAGUUGUUGUGUUCUUCUUCAAAACGUCCUAAAUGAUAUUGUUAGAGAGAUGAAGAUGAAUCUGUAAAAGUACCUUCCAAUAAUUCUGUUGUUUCUCUUCCAUUGGCCAAGUUGGGAGCAUUUUAUCAAAUCCUAACAACGCAUCAUCCAAAUUCAUCUGAACCAAUACAGCUCGCAUCUUCACUUGCCACAACAAAAAUCUUGUAUUACGAUUCAAAAGCGAAAUUUCAUACUUCAUGAUUGUCAUCGAUAGCAGAAAACCUCAAACAAAAUCACAAUCAAUAGCUCAAAUACCACUUUUUGGGAACGGAGAGGCAAGUAUAACAUAAUAUGAAAUAUAUGAUCGCGCACUAAAAACAAGUUUAAAAACAAGAAGAGACUUGCAGAGAAGUUGAGCAAUUUUAUUAAUUGAUAACCAAUGGAGAGAAAAAUACAAUUUCAACAAUACAUAAACUGGAAGAAGACUUAAAUAUAUAUAGGGAUAAUCCAAGCCCUAGAAGCUGAGUUCUAGAUGAAAUAAAAUGUGCAAAAGCUUCCUUAUCAUGGUUUCUUUAAAUCCAACACAAAUUUCAACUCCAAAUAUGGGUUCCAAAUAAAAUUUCAACUAGAAUUUACAAAAAGAUUUCGAAUAAAAUUCCAAAAACAUUUCAAAUAAAAUUUUUCUUAAUGUGCACUUUAAUUAGAACCCUCAAUUACACCCAAAUUCUAACACUUUAUACUUUUCACAACAAUAUCUUUCAACAAUUUUAACCAUCUGACAAUCAUUUAAAUCAGCAUCAAAUUUUUCCCGAACAUGGAGAAAACAAAAAACAUAUGAGUGAACAUAUUAUUAAAACAUAAGUUACUUUUAGCAGGGCCGGAUGCAGAAAUUUUUAGUUAGGGAGGCACAAUCAAA
rnacentral:lncRNA from 1 species